rnacentral:misc_RNA from 1 species
GAUGAAGAACGUAGCGAAAUGCGAUACUUGGUGUGAAUUGCAGAAUCCCGUGAACCAUCGAGUCUUUGAACGCAAGUUGCGCCCGAAGCCAUUAGGCCGAGGGCACGCCUGCCUGGGCGUCACACGUCGUUGCCCCCCCAUCUACUCCUUCGGGAUUGCGGGGGGCGGAUGAUGGCCUCCCGUGCGCCUCGUCGCGCGGUUGGCAUAAAUGCCAAGUCCUCGGCGACACACGCCACGACAAUCGGUGGUUGCGAAACCUCGGUUGCCCGUCGUGUGCGGUCGUCGCGCAUCGAGGGCUCGAAAAAAUUGCCGGGCUCCGGCUCGGCUUUCAACGCGACCCCAGGUCAGGCGGGGUUACCCGCUGAAUUUAAGCAUAUCAAUAAGCGGACGA